GCGGGAAUAGCUCAGUUGGUAGAGCACGACCUUGCCAAGGUCGGGGUCGCGAGUUCGAGCCUCGUUUCCCGC
rnacentral:tRNA from 1 species